CUAAAAUGCUAAAAUUAUUGCUUAAACUUUAGAAAAUACAAUACGUAUUUUGCUGGAUUUGUACAUAUCUAAAUCUCAUUGCCUGUUUCUGAUAUUCGUUAAACGCUAGCGCCACUAUGGAUUCGUAGCGCCUUCAUCAUUUCCUUGGAGCUGUUCAGAAGCGGGAUCGGAGUGACUGAUGGAUUGGAGAACGAUCCGAUCGACGAGGAGCUACAGUUCCAGGCGAUGGUGGGAGGCUGGGAGCCAUGCUAGAGCGAGACUGGGUAAAUGGUGAACCCAGAUACCCAACGUUGCGCACUCGUAACCUGCGCGUUCCGAUCACAGCAGGAUAUUACUGUGUGACUGAUUGUGUGUCAGUUGUGACUGAUUACGGCUGUACAGUUUGGUUGGAACUUGGAGUUUGAUUCCGGUUGUACAGGACUAGACUGAGCUACAACUUAUAAUAAUGUUGCGGAUCAAACGGAGAAUCCUCCGGAAGUGGAAACGAUCCGCGUGUUGGUUCUAGCUUAUUUACGUCGUCAACGUGUUGGUGGCCAAUGAAUACAAAGUUACAAACAGGAUCUACCCAAUAUUGUACCCAUUCCAUUCGUUUUUUAUUCUCCUCGUCUUAUGAUUUGCCUGGUGUCCAGACGUGCUCGCACUGCAUGCACGGCGGGGACAUUUUCACCAGGUAAUCUAAGGAAAAAAGAUGGUUUCCGGACGCGAUGCCGCAAGUGACUUCCGGCGACGGUGGCGGCACCGACGCACGGGGAACGGACGCAACCUAGAAGCGUCUGCGGUGUGUCAGUCGGUGAUGAUCAUGAUCAGUGAUAUUCAGCUCCCUCUCCGCUAUCCGAAGCCAGCCGCAGCAUGGUUUCGGGCCUUGGUGCAUGCCGACGCCCGGUGAUUUCGCGCGGCUUUUCCAUGUCGGCCAUCGUUCAGUUACACUGCUUGGUAUACGUCCGGAUGGCUGGCCGAUGCGACCGGAGAAGUAAACUCGAGCUGUUGCGAUAUCCACCAUUGUGAUGAUCAGCGCCAAAUGUUGCAACAUUUGGUUUAGUUUCGUCUUCGUAAUAUGUCCAAUGGAGAUAUUACUAAGGCAAAAAUAAACCAGUGCUCCACGCAACAGUAGCAAUUAUUCCGGUACAUAUAUACAUACCUAUUACAGAUAAUUGAAAGGUACCAGCAAAGCCGAUAGCUGCGUGGGAUUGGAGUUUUGCCGUUUCACUGUUUAUUGUUGUCGGCAGUACUUAAUUCUCCUCCUCGGCGUUUUACAAAUUUAAAGUCACAUGGAUUUGUUCAUAGCAUUUCAAAAGAAAGGCCAAAAAAUGGAUUCGUUGUGUCCCCUUGUGUGCAGUCUUCUUCGGAGGCUUAGCUUUCUUUCUUUACCAAUUUGCUGCUAUUUGUAAGAAUGUAUUAAUAUACAUAAUUUUGUGCCAGGAUCUGUACAGUUACAGAUAGGACACCGAAUGAGAACA